GCCCCGCAAGACUAUGAUCCUGCAAUCCGUGCUCAGGACAAGGAUGCUUUGAUGAAAUUGUUAACAUCUGAAAGCCAAGAAGAAUUGGUCAAGAGAAGAGUGAAGAAGAAGGCCAUGGUGUUUGGACAAGACAUAAACUUGGAUAAGAAGAUCGAUACAGGUGACGGUGACAGUAACCGGACCAACUAUAAGGUUGAUCCCUCGGUGGUUUAUCGUCUUUAUGGAGAUUGGGUUAUACCUCUGACCAAGAUUGUUGAAGUUGAAUAUCUUCUCCACCGUCUUGAUUGACAACAUUGGUUGUAUCUUAUUCUGCGAUGGUGGAUUUGGAUAGUUGGGAAGUCACAAAAGUAGCUAUCUCAUGUAUCUCCAUGCUCUGCCACACAAGUAUGUUUCUAAUUUUUUUCGAAAUAAAGAAAUAGAUAGUAUACUGAGACUGAGGAUGUUUGAUUCGUCCUCCAAGUCUUUCAUGUUUGACAUGUUUAUUUUCUCUCUUCAUAUCAUGUGCAGAGUCGAAUAGCAGAGCCUAUUUUUUUCUUGUAGGAGCUUGUUUAAUGAUCAAUUGCCCAUAAAAGAAGCUAUCUAUGAAGAUGAGGUGGUAGCAUUCAUCAAUA